GCCGGGAUAGCCAAGCAGGUCCAAGGCGGCUGGCUGUCAACCAGCUGGCACGAGAGUGCCCCGCGGGUUCGAACCCCGCUCCCGGCG
rnacentral:tRNA from 1 species